rnacentral:rRNA from 1 species
GAUGAACGCUGGCGGCGUGCCUAAUACAUGCAAGUCGAGCGAACAGACGAGGAGCUUGCUCCUCUGACGUUAGCGGCGGACGGGUGAGUAACACGUGGAUAACCUACCUAUAAGACUGGGAUAACUUCGGGAAACCGGAGCUAAUACCCGAUAAUAUGUUGAAUCGCAUGGUUCAACAGUGAAAGACGGUCUUGCUGUCACUUAUAGAUGGAUCCGCGCCGCAUUAGCUAGUUGGUAAGGUAACGGCUUACCAGGGCAACGAUGCGUAGCCGACCUGAGAGGAUGAAGGGCCACACAGUAACUGACAGACGGUACAGGCUAAAACGGGAGGCAGCAGUAGGGAAUCUUCCGCAAUGGUAGAAAGCCUGACGGAGCAACGACGCGUGAGUGAAGAAAAUCUCCGGAUCGUAAAACUCUGUUAUUAGGGAAGAACAAAUGUGUAAGUAACUAUGCACGUCUUGACGGUACCUGAUCAGAAAGCCGCGGCUAACUAAGU